rnacentral:rRNA from 1 species
AAGUCUGACGGAGCACGCCGCGUGAGUGAUGAAGGCUUUCGGGUCGUAAAACUCUGUUGUUAGGGAAGAACAAGUGCUAGUUGAAUAAGCUGGCACCUUGACGGUACCUAACCAGAAAGCCACGGCUAACUACGUGCCAGCAGCCGCGGUAAUACGUAGGUGGCAAGCGUUAUCCGGAAUUAUUGGGCGUAAAGCGCGCGCAGGUGGUUUCUUAAGUCUGAUGUGAAAGCCCACGGCUCAACCGUGGAGGGUCAUUGGAAACUGGGAGACUUGAGUGCAGAAGAGGAAAGUGGAAUUCCAUGUGUAGCGGUGAAAUGCGUAGAGAUAUGGAGGAACACCAGUGGCGAAGGCGACUUUCUGGUCUGUAACUGACACUGAGGCGCGAAAGCGUGGGUUAGCGAACAGGAUUAGAUACCCUGGUUUUCCACNCCCUAAACGAUUUCGUGCUCAGUGUAAAAGGAGUUUCCGCCCUUUUUUGCUGAAUUUUUUCGGAUUAAGCACUCCGCAUGUUUAGUACGUGCCGGAAAAAUACCCCUCCAGCGACCCGAGGGGGA